rnacentral:rRNA from 1 species
UAACGCGUGAGAAUCUGGCUUCAGGUCGGGGACAACCACUGGAAACGGUGGCUAAUACCGGAUAUGCCGAGAGGUGAAAGGCUAGCUGCCUGAAGAUGARCUCGCGUCUGAUUAGCUAGUUGGGARUGUAAGARACUACCAAGGCGACGAUCAGUAGCUGGUCUGARAGGAUGAUCAGCCACACUGGGACUGARACACGGCCCAGACUCCUACGGGAGGSAGCAGUGGGGAAUUUUCCGCAAUGGGCGAAAGCCUGACGGARCAAUACCGCGUGAGGGAGGAAGGCUCUUGGGUUGUAAACCUCUUUUCUCAGGGAAGAAAAAAAUGACGGUACCUGAGGAAUAAGCAUCGGCUAACUCCGUGCCAGCAGCCGCGGUAAUACGGAGGAUGCAAGCGUUAUCCGGAAUGAUUGGGCGUAAAGCGUCCGCAGGUGGCUGUGAAAGUCUGCUGUUAAAGAAUGAGGCUCAACCUCAUACAAGCAGUGGAAACUACACGGCUAGAGUGCGUUCGGGGUAGAGGGAAUUCCUGGUGUAGCGGUGAAAUGCGUAGAUAUCAGGAAGAACACCGGUGGCGAAGGCGCUCUACUAGGCCGCAACUGACACUGAGGGACGAAAGCUAGGGGAGCGAAUGGGAUUAG